rnacentral:rRNA from 1 species
UACGUAGGGCGCAAGCGUUGUCCGGAUUUAUUGGGCGUAAAGAGCGUGUAGGCGGCCAGGUAGGUCUGCUGUGAAAACUCGAGGCUUAACCUCGAGAUGUCAUCGGAAACCAUUUGGCUAGAGUCCGGGAGAGGAGAGUGGAAUUCCUGGUGUAGCGGUGAAAUGCGCAGAUAUCAGGAAGAACACCAAUGGCGAAAGCAGCUCUCUGGGACGGUACUGACGCUGAGACGCGAAAGCGUGGGGAGCAAACAGG